AUUUUGCGAAAUGGAUUAGUUCUUAGGCAUCCUUUUUGGCGGAAAAAAUGAAUUUAGAUGAGAGCAUUGAACAGAUAUCGUCUAUGUGUCCAUCUUUUACUUAUGAUGAAAUCAAAAGCGACUUGUCUGUAACAAAUGAUGUUGAACUGACAGUGAAUCGAUUACUUGAUAAGUCCAUAACAAAUGGAAUUGAUGUAAAAUCAGCAAUGGAUUUCAGCAGUGAUGAUGAAGAACUACCACAAUUAUACAAACCUUCCAGUUUAUCAGUCAGGGCUACUACAAACCAAACAGGUCCACCAAAGCAAGCAUCAACAAAUAAAAGCUCCCUGCAGGUUUCCAUAAUUAUAGACAGCGAUGAAGAUGUUGAAGUAACCGGUACCCAUGGACCAUCCAGAGGACUCGGGCAAGUGAAUCAUAGCAUGUCGGACAGCUCGGAAGAUGAGAUCUGUUUGCCAUCACUUAGAGACAGAAUAUUAAGUAAUGUGUCCAGCAGUAAAUCCAUUUCGUCAUCAGAAACGAUCACAUCUAUGAAACAAAACCUUUCAUCCGAAAAUAAAUGUGACAAAACUGCUCUUAAUCAUCUUAACUCAGGAAGCAUGCACAGUAAAGGUCUCGCUUCUAAUGGAUAUUCAAGUUCAUUAGCAUGUUCCGAGGAAACUGUUUUUAGUGAUGGAUCAAUUAGCACAAACAAUUUUGAUUCCAAUAUGGAUAGUCAGUCUACAGUUUCCUUGUCACAGUCCUCUGGAUGCAGCGUUGGAGAAUUGACCAAGAAAAAAAGAACAAAGGAGGAAAUUGCAGUCUUAAAAAAUGAAGCCAAGGCAAGUAUUUUAUAUUAUGCGGAAAAUGAAUAACAAGAAAGCUAGAGAAGAAAAGGCAUUGUCCAAGGAGCUAGAAAAGCAAAGAAAAGAACAGAUACGCAUUGCUGAAAGAGAAAGAAAGAAGCAAAUGGGAGGAUCUAAGGACUGUUUGCAGUACCUGAUUUUGAUGUUGGAUACCCGAAUUGUAAACUCUGGAGGGCAUGGAGUGGCUAUAUUUAAGGCUUGUGAAGCACUAGGGAUACAGUACAUCACUAAAGAACAGACUGUACCAUUCAGUAUCACAUGGAGCAGACAAGUCACCAGUAUCAAUGUAUCCAGGGAAAAUCAGGUUGAAACUGUGAAAUCUGAGCAGAUGGAGGAAGAUGUCCUUGUGUUACUCCCAGUCGCUGACUUUGUUAAUUUUGUACAGAAUCAUAAAAAGUGUGGCAGUGAAUUAGGAGGCGAACCAACUCUAACAAAUUAUGUACAGACUGUCAAACAGCAUUUACCUAAUUCUAUUUUAUCAUUUGUCGUCAUAGGGAUGGAAAAAUAUUUUAGGGAUCAGAAAACUAAGGUACAAAGGAAGCACAGAGCAGCAGUGUUAUCCAGUGUGAGGGUGACUCCGUGUACAGACAGUGACCAGGGGAGUGUUCAUCGUCUGGAUGUCGAAGAGGCCAUUACAGACAACCAGCUUCAGACAGAUGUGAUGGUUUAUUUGUUGGAGACCUCAGAGGAACUGUCAGAGUUUGUACGCACCUUCUCAAAGGCAGUGGCAGAGAAACCUGCAAAGAAAGAUCGAUUACAGACAGCUUUCUUUGAUGAUGGUGUAUCUACAGUGAAAGUUGACAAGAAUGGACAAGGUCUUCUGAGGGUUUGGAAGCAACAGCUGCUGCAGUUUAAGAACAUCAGUCCUGACAUUGCUGAUGCUAUUGUACAGGCCUAUCCUUCCCCUCACUUACUGAUGGAGGCUUACAGAAAAUGCAAUGAUUCAAAUGAACAAGAAAAAUUAAUAGAAAAUAUUGUGGUAAGACGAGGAGCUGGUGUGUUGGAGACGUCACGCAGAGUGGGGAAGGAGAUGUCGCGGAGGAUCUGCACUUUUGUGACCAGUUCCAAUGCUAACGAAGUUAUCAAAUGACUGCUUGUUGUUGCAACAAUCCCCUCUUGUUUUAAUUACCAGUUGUUAUUAUUAUUGAAGGAUGUAUUUUAAAAAAUCAUUUGAACAAUUGAUUGUGUUUUAUCCUUCACUAUGUCAAUGCAUUAAACUUGUAGAGUCAAU
rnacentral:misc_RNA from 1 species